rnacentral:rRNA from 1 species
CGUAGGGUGCGAGCGUUAAUCGGAAUUACUGGGCGUAAAGGGUGCGCAGGCGGUCCUGCAAGUCAGGCGUGAAAUCCCCGGGCUUAACCUGGGAAUGGCGCUUGAAACUACGGGACUGGAGUAUGGCAGAGGGAGGUGGAAUUCCACGUGUAGCGGUGAAAUGCGUAGAGAUGUGGAGGAACACCGAUGGCGAAGGCAGCCUCCUGGGCCAAUACUGACGCUCAUGCACGAAAGCGUGGGGAGCAAACAGGAUUAGAUACCCUGGUAGUCCACGCCCUAAACGAUGAUGACUAGUUGUUGGAGGAGUUAAAUCCUUUAGUAACGCAGCUAACGCGCGAAGUCAUCCGCCUGGGGAGUACGGUCGCAAGAUUA